AGAGUUUGAUCCUGGCUCAGGACGAACGCUGGCGGCGUGCUUAACACAUGCAAGUCGAGCGGGGUUUAUCGGAUUAGCUUGCUAAACUGAUAAACCUAGCGGCGGACGGGUGAGUAACGCGUGAGCAAUCUGCCUUAUACAGGGGGAUAACAGGUGGAAACACCUGCUAAUACCGCAUAAGACUCCACUACCGCAUGGUAGAGAAGUCAAAGGGCUUACCGGUAUGAGAUGAGCUCGCGUCCCAUUAGCUAGUUGGUAGGGUAAAGGCCUACCAAGGCGACGAUGGGUAGCCGACCUGAGAGGGUGAUCGGCCACACUGGGACUGAGACACGGCCCAGACUCCUACGGGAGGCAGCAGUGGGGAAUAUUGCACAAUGGAGGGAACUCUGAUGCAGCAACGCCGCGUGAGUGAAGAAGGUUUUCGGAUCGUAAAACUCUGUCAUUGGGGAAGAAUAAAUGACGGUACCCAAUGAGGAAGCCCCGGCUAACUACGUGCCAGCAGCCGCGGUAAU
rnacentral:rRNA from 1 species